rnacentral:tRNA from 1 species
UACGUUUUAGUAUAUGAUGUACGAAAGUUUUUGAUACUUUUAGAGAUAGUUUAAUUCUAUUAAAUGUAA